GUCGAGGGGGCGGGACCCGGGCACCGCCCCACCCCAAGGACGCCCCGGUAGUCCGCACCACAAAGGGGGAAAACGGGAGAGGCUACGCAGGGGAGCUGGGAGUCGGUCUGCAAGGGACGGGGAGCUGCGCGCCUCCCCAUCUCGGUGGGGCGUGCCUGGUCCCCAAGCCCACUCCUGUCCCAACCCCGGCCCUGCGCUCAGAGCCCUGUCCGCUCGCUGCCGGACCCCGAAGCGCGCCGCCAGAUACUGCGGCGGACAGGCCCAGGGGCGUUCAGCGGGCCAGCGAGUGUGAGCGUGGUGCCACCAAGCCAGCAGCCCGAAGCGCGAGAGAAGCCGGGGCUUCGCCAGCCUCAGCCUUUCGAGUGGGGGAAGGAGGGGAGGCCGGUGAGCCGCUGCGAUGCAGCGGCGCUCGGCCCUCGGCGAGGUUCUCAGCCGAAGAAGGGGAAGCGCGGCCCGCCAUGGGUUAGUACUAAUAUUGACUUAAUUUUUACUACUUACAGGCCGUCACCUCCCCACGGCGGAGGGGCCUGGGGACCAAGACCUCCACCCAAACUUCAGGCGCAGGGUGAAGGCUGGGAGCGACCGAGUCACCCUUUCCCGCCGCGUUCCCAACAGUUCCGGUGGCGGAAAAUGGCCCAGACUUGGUUUUCGAGCCCAAUAAAAUAGAAGGGCCAGUCCUCCGAGGGCGUCGGCCGGCUCUGCGGGGCGCCGAGAGCCGCAGAGGCUCCUGGCCGCGCCCCGCCCAGCGCCAUGAAGCCUGGCAGGGAGGGGAUGGCGCCCGGGUCGCGCCCUGGCCUGGCGCGGGGGCCGCAAGGCCGGGAUCCCGCCCGCCAGGAAGCGCUGAGUGCAGGUUGCCGGUGAGCGCCUGCUGCUCGGGGCAGGUACCCACUGGCCACACGACGCUGCUGCAGCAUUCGAGGCCCGCAGGGACGCCGUCCCCCGACCCACACACCUGAGCCAGUCUGCGCGUGGCUGGGGGCGAAGAGUUUACCCGGGAAGGUUGGGGAGCUGCGGCCUCUGCCCCGCCGGCCCUGCGGGUCGGGGGAAGAGACCCUGGCACUCCCCGCAGAUCCUGGAGUGCCCCCCAUAUCCCCUUCCACCAUAACAGGUGUAACCCCACCCGCCUUCUCCAAAAGCCCAUGGCAGGGAUGAGGGGCAGAGGGACCCGAAGCUUUGACCGCACAAACCCGGCGGGAAAGCGAAGCCCACUAGGAACCGGAGGCCGCCGUCAGGAAGCCCCGCUCCUGGGACCGAGCUCCGGGCCCUCCCAGCCUCGAGGUCCUCGCCCUAUGGAGGCACGAGGAGGAGAGGGCCCGAGCUCCCCAAGCUGGCCGAUGCCGCCCUCCCUCCUGCUCCUCGGGGCGCUGACCCCCUCCCUCCCUAACCCCUGAGCCCCGGGGCGCCCCCGAGAGCCCGGCAGGGAGGCCAAGGCCCGGGAGACAGGCCGAGGGGAGGAAGAUAAACAAGCAGCGCUUGAUGGCCGCUGUCAUCAUGGCCGUCAUCAUGGCUUUCAUUUGGCUGCCUAAUGAGUCACAUCACAGGCAGAGAGAAAAAUUGUCAAUCGCCCGGGCCCUAAUGAAUUUUUUUGCAAAUUGUAAUCAAGCCAGGCCGUCUCAGCUGGCUGAUUAAUGAGACCCACGAGGCUCGGCCAGCACCUCAGCUUUUUAUUCCAUCCCGUCCUCCCUGCACUAAAUUAACAGCAACUUGUCUGAGCUUCAAAUUAACUCCCAAUGAUUAAUUCUGAUGGGGGGGCCUGAAGAAUAGCUUGUUCUAAUAGGCUCUGGCCUGAGAUGCUGUUGGAAAUUAAUACACUUCCCCUUUGGCUGCCGGCUUUAAUCCAAGGUUGGGUUUUGACAUCACUAUAUUUGUUGUUACAAUAAAUUCCACUUACAUCUGCAGAUCAAAUAAUUACACUUGGGAGCUCCUUGGACCUGCGCCCCCCAGCCGUGCACUGGGACGCCUCAGGGCUGCCUGCACCCCGCAGCCACCGACCCAGGCAGAGGUCGGAGGGGGGCCACAAGAACAGUCACUCCACCCAGUGACUGCCUUUGCUCCCUGGCAAGCCAGGCACCCCUGCCCCAUUGGAGAACCCAAGAAGGAGCCCAGGACUACCUUCCCAGCAGCCGGGACCCACCUGCACUGGAAGCUGCUCAAAUCCCAACCUGCGCUGGAAUUUUCGAGACUUAGUGCAUGCUUGUGCAUCCAGCCUUUGCUUCCUGUCUUCAGCCCCCUGGGUGGUUCUUUCACAGAUGCCUUGUCAGCUAAAUGGAGAGCAGGGAGUGGCCCCCCCAGGCUUUUUUGAGCCCGGGUUUGCCUCGGAGGACAUCCUGACUCUAUGGCUGUCUGUGCGUCUGGCCUUCAGCCUAGGUGCUUGUACAAGCCUGGGCACAUCGCUGGUACCUGCAUUCCAAGACACCCUUUCUCUCAGGGUCAGCACCCUCUCCCUCUUGUUUCUGUUUGUUUGAGCUUAAUGGGCUUAAUUAUUUCAGCUGCAUCUGGUGAAGCUCGCACAGGGCUUCCAAGGCUGCUCCCUCCAGCCCCAGACCUGUCUGGAACAGAGUCCCAUGUUAUGCCCCAUGGCGGGUGGUUCUAGGUGCACUGAAAGCCGGGAGUGACCUUCUAGCUUUCCGGCCUCAGGAGCCUUUGGAUCACACUCUGGUUCUCACCUCGGGGCCUUCCUAGUCCCAAGUGGCUGGAGCCCACGCAUUCAGCAGCGCGGGCAGCAGAGACCCUCUCGGGGCCCUCUUCUUUCCCCUGCUGGACUUCAGUGGCGGUGUGGCAGAGUGGCUCGCUUAUGCCCAGCCGUGGCUUCCCAGGGAAGGAGGCUCCAGUGCACACACCUAUUUCUGUCCCCAGAGACCCCAGGCAUCUGCCCAGGCAUGCACAGCCAGAGCAGGUGGCCUGCUCCGACCUUCUGGCCGCUGGGUCCUCCCAGGCAGCUUCAGCGCAGUGCUCAGGGCCCAGUUCCAGGGUAGCAGGGCUCUGGGGUCUUGGGGGAAGCUAAGGCCGGGGUUCUACAGGGACAGCCCAGACGAAGGGAGGUGGCAUUCAUCUUCAUUUUAGGCCCUUAGGGUGUAAACAGGAGAAAUAUGAUCUUGGUAACCAAACAUGAAUGCAAAUCACACCGGCAGAGUAAUAAAGCACCUGAAACCCCAACGCACAUAAGCAACACCAUAUGUAUGUAGACAACCUGCAUAAAUUAUAAAUUACAUCAUCAAAACCGAUU
rnacentral:lncRNA from 1 species